AGAGUUUGAUCCUGGCUCAGGAUGAACGCUAGCGACAGGCUUAACACAUGCAAGUCGAGGGGCAGCGGGGGCGAAGCUUGCUUCGCCUGCCGGCGACCGGCGCACGGGUGAGUAACACGUAUGCGACCUGCCCCCCGCAGGGGGAUAACCGGGAGAAAUCCCGACUAAUACCGCGUAACGCCGCUGGGCUGCAUGGCCCGGCGGCCAAAGGAAGCGAUUCCGGCGGGGGAUGGGCAUGCGGCGCAUUAGCUAGUCGGCGGGGUAACGGCCCACCGAGGCGACGAUGCGUAGGGGUUCUGAGAGGAAGGUCCCCCACACUGGUACUGAGACACGGACCAGACUCCUACGGGAGGCAGCAGUGAGGAAUAUUGGUCAAUGGGCGGGAGCCUGAACCAGCCAAGUCGCGUGAGGGAAGACGGUCCUACGGAUUGUAAACCUCUUUUGCCGGGGAGCAACGGGGUCCUUGCGAGGGCCCGAUGAGAGUACCCGGAGAAAAAGCAUCGGCUAACUCCGUGCCAGCAGCCGCGGUAAUACGGAGGAUGCGAGCGUUAUCCGGAUUUAUUGGGUUUAAAGGGUGCGUAGGCGGGCUGUUAAGUCAGCGGUCAAAUGUCGGGGCUCAACCCCGGCCUGCCGUUGAAACUGGCGGCCUCGAGUGGGCGAGAAGUAUGCGGAAUGCGUGGUGUAGCGGUGAAAUGCAUAGAUAUCACGCAGAACUCCGAUUGCGAAGGCAGCAUACCGGCGCCCGACUGACGCUGAGGCACGAAAGCGUGGGUAUCGAACAGGAUUAGAUACCCUGGUAGUCCACGCAGUAAACGAUGAAUGCUAGCUGUCCGGUUCUACGGGACUGGGUGGCACAGCGAAAGCGUUAAGCAUUCCACCUGGGGAGUACGCCGGCAACGGUGAAACUCAAAGGAAUUGACGGGGGCCCGCACAAGCGGAGGAACAUGUGGUUUAAUUCGAUGAUACGCGAGGAACCUUACCCGGGCUCAAACGCCAAAGGACAGCCGCUGAAAGGCGGCCUCCCUCCGGGGUCUUUGGCGAGGUGCUGCAUGGUUGUCGUCAGCUCGUGCCGUGAGGUGUCGGCUUAAGUGCCAUAACGAGCGCAACCCCCAUCGACAGUUGCUAACGGGUGGAGCCGAGGACUCUGUCGAGACUGCCGGCGCAAGCUGCGAGGAAGGCGGGGAUGACGUCAAAUCAGCACGGCCCUUACGUCCGGGGCGACACACGUGUUACAAUGGCCGGUACAGCGGGAUGCCAGGGCGCGAGUCCGAGCGGAACCCGAAAACCGGUCUCAGUUCGGAUUGGAGUCUGCAACCCGACUCCAUGAAGCUGGAUUCGCUAGUAAUCGCGCAUCAGCCACGGCGCGGUGAAUACGUUCCCGGGCCUUGCACACACCACCCGUCAAG
rnacentral:rRNA from 1 species